CUCCUACUUACCAAUUGGACAGUUGGUGGCAGGACAUGGCUCAGAGAGGUGCAGACCAUCAAAGACACCUGUGAAACAGCAGGAAUUCCCAAGGAGGAGGGUCUCCAUAAUUCCUCAGACUUACAGACAGUAGCUGUAGCAGCAGCUUCAUCAGAGGAGUUGUUUAGUCACUCUUUUCUUCACCAGAGCUGCUGGACUUGUGGCAGCACUGCAGUCCUACGAUGGUUCCUCUUCUUCCAGCUUCUCACCCUCCUGAGUUAUCAUUUUUAGAAAAUCCCUCUCAGUAUGAAGCAAUCAAUUAAUGAAGAUCCAUUAACAGUAUUCCUGCACCUGU